GGAGGGAGAAACGCUCCGCCGUCCCGGCCCAGCCCGGCCCGUCCCAGGCCCGGCUCCUGCCGAGCGGAGCCUCGCCGGAGAGCAGCCGCGGCGUCCCGGUCCCGGCCCCGGCCCCGCCGCCCGCUCACCUCAGCCCGCCGCCGGCAGCCUCCCCGGGCACCGACACCGACGCGCAGAGCGGCUCCCCCGGCCGUGGCCGCCCUUCCACAGGCGGAGGUAGCCAACGGAGAAUGGAAGCGCUGGAGUCGUGUCUGCCCGUGGGACUGGCUGGCCACCGAGGAAAUCCAGACGGCGUGAAAAGGGCCAGGAUUCGCCCGGGGACUGAACCUCCCUUUCUGCUGUGGGGGGAGACAUCGCGGUGCCCGCGGGGACGUCGAGGACAAAUGUCAGGUUUUGGCCCCUUGAUGUACAUUUUUGUGAAUGAAGGUGCACCUCCCUUUCCCAUGCGCGCCGGCGUUCAGGCUGGCGUGUUUACCGUUCCCAUUUCAGCGGGGGGACUGCGGAGCGGGACGGGUGCCGUGCAAGGACGCUCGGACAAAUUGCUCCGUGAGGAAGCCGGGGCUGAAAUCGCUUCGGUUGCUGCUGGCUUCCCGCGGCGGCCAGGUAACGAGACCGAGGUCGGCUUGGUGCCGGACUUCUUCCGAGGGUUCAAGGCCCUGCUGUUUUUCUCCAUCCUUUCAGGAUGAGGAGCUGCCCUCUGCUCCCGCAGCCGGUGCAGGGAGGCGGAAGAAACCCGGCGCGGAGGAAAGACUCUUUCUUUCUCCAUUUCUGUCGUUUCUCCCGGUUCCCAUGGGGAGACGUUUCAUCGCAGACCUGCGCGGGAAUUGAAGGCAGCCCUGGGCCUUCCUCCUCCUCCCCGCGCAGGGAAAAAGCAGAUUUAUCGCACCGGAAAGGUCCCCGGCAGCAGCUGGCCCUGGUGACAACCUGCCGCCAACAUCCGCUGGAGCCGUGCUGCCUUUUUCCCAGUGGCAACCCCCGAGAGGUCGGCGUCUUGUUCCGCACCUGGGAGCCUCCGGCAAGGAAUAUUUCUGCCCGGGACGGGCUUGGCCUUCUCGUGUAACUGUAAAAGGAGGGUUGAAGUUCACAAAUUAACAGAUUAUUAACCGCGGCUCUAAAAGUAACCAUAGAAACGGCGCGGUCGGAGGGGCAAGGAGCUCUCCGAGGGCUCCCC
rnacentral:lncRNA from 1 species